CUAAAAGCCAAGAAUGCGGUUUUUAUGUUUUGAAAUAUAUGACUGACAUCGUCGCACGUGCCAACCCCAACCGUUACAUAGAAGAUCAAAAAGCUUUUGGGGGUAAGAAGCAAUACGAUCCAAAAACAGAAAUUUUACCACUACAGCGAAAGUGGAUCGAACAAUUGAUGGCGGUGAUUCACGGUGACGAUUGAGGUUCAAAGGUCGAAGAAUUUUUCUUCAUUAUGUAAUUUUUAUAGAUUAACUUGUAAUUAGAUUUAUUAACUUAUUAAUAUUUUUAACUAAUUUUACAUGUUUGUGUAAUAUUUAAUUAUUUUUAUGAAAUCAAAUUAUGUUUUUACCCAAAUUUAAUUACUAUUAUAAUUAAAUUAAAUAAAUAUGUAAUUUAAAAUUUAAAUAAAUAUGUAAUUUAAAUUAAAUAAAUAUGUAUAUAAAUUAAUAAAUAUAAAAUUAAAAUAAUAUAAUUAAAUUAAAAAAAAAAUCGAAAAACUGAAAUUCGCGAGACCCUUUA